GACGAACGCUGGCGGCGUGCUUAACACAUGCAAGUCGAACGGAAAGGCCCUGCUUUUGUGGGGUGCUCGAGUGGCGAACGGGUGAGUAACACGUGAGUAACCUGCCCUUGACUUUGGGAUAACUUCAGGAAACUGGGGCUAAUACCGGAUAGGAGCUCCUGCUGCAUGGUGGGGGUUGGAAAGUUUCGGCGGUUGGGGAUGGACUCGCGGCUUAUCAGCUUGUUGGUGGGGUAGUGGCUUACCAAGGCUUUGACGGGUAGCCGGCCUGAGAGGGUGACCGGCCACAUUGGGACUGAGAUACGGCCCAAACUCCUACGGGAGGAAGCGGUGGGGAAUAUUGCACAAUGGGCGGAAGCCUGAUGCAGCAACGCCGCGUGCGGGAUGACGGCCUUCAGGUUGUAAACCGCUUUCGCCUGUGACGAAGCGUGAGUGACGGUAAUGGGUAAAGAAGCACCGGCUAACUACGUG
rnacentral:rRNA from 1 species